UUUCUUCACUCUUUAAUCAUUUCUUUUUAUUUUUUUUCUCAAUUAUUUAGUUGUUAGAAACUCCCUUAUGCCUGAUUUAUGAUUCCACAUUGAGGACAAUGUGGGAAGUAAGUGUGGGGGUGGAGUUUAAUUUUGCUUUUAUUUGUUUAAUUUGUUUAUAUUUUGUAAAGCACUGAAUUUUUGAGCAGUUUUUCCAUAUUCUAAAACCCAAUUUAAAUAUUUCUUUUGACAAGUGCUCUUAAAAAUUCGACUGAUUUUUGUGCUUAUCCCCUGGAAAUUUUGAUUGUUUGUUGUGCUAAAUGAAAAAUUUUAUUUCAAAACUUCUUUCUUGUCAUAACUUGAUUAAUAACUUUCUUUUGACCUCUUAAGAGAAGUGCUUUGUCCUAAAGUAGAUUUUUCUGCAUUAGGUUGAAUUCUUGAGAUUUUAGGCAAGAUAACAGUAAGCUUAAUGAUAGACUUCCAUUUCUCCAUACCAUAACUGGUAUUCCUUAAUCAUUCUUUUUUUUUAUAAAUCGUUUAGGCUUGAGUUAAUAGGUGAAAUCAUCAAUUUGUUUGUAUUUAAUUCACUGUUGUGCAUAUUUCAAAACUUUGUUUAACCUGUUUGAGGCACUACUGUGGAUUACAUGGUUGCAUGUUUUAGGGGAUUGAAAGAUGUAGAUCGAGAAAAGCAGUAAUGCAUAUAGUAAGGAAUAAAAGAGAAUGAAAAAAGCGGUAAUGCACAUGAGUUCCCUAAAGUUUACAAACAAAUAAAAAAAAUGAAAAACAGAAUAAAAGAGAAUGAAAAAAGCGGUAAGGCACAUGAGUUCUCCAAAGUUUGCCAAAAAAAAAAAGAAAGAAAAAUGCUCUUUCUUUCCCUUCCGAAUGUUUGCUCCAAAUCCUAGAGUAUUAUGCCUUAAUAAGUUAGCCUUAUGUUUUGAUGUGCAACAACUUAAGUUACUGUGGAACCUAAUCUAUCUGGAUGCCUAAAAAGCGGUAAGGCACAUGAGUUCUCCAAAGUUUCCGAAUGUUUGCUCCAAAUCCUAGAGUAUUAUGCCUUAAUAAGUUAGCCUUAUGUUUUGAUGUGCAACAACUUAAGUUACUGUGGAACCUAAUCUAUCUGGAUGCCUAAAAUAUUCCAAGUCUUUAUGUUUUGUGCCAAAAAUGAUGGUUUUGAGAUUGUUAUAUACUAGUAUGGAUUUGAUGGAAUAUAUUAUGAAUGAUUAUUACCUUAUUUGCCUUUCCUCUCAAUUUUUCAAUCUUUUGCUAAAGAAAGCUGUGAUAGGGUGAAGUGAGCUUCUAUGAGAGGUCAAUUGAAGUUUUAGUCAUGCUUAAGGACAAGCAUGGGAUAAGUGUGGGGGAAUUUCAUAAGUGGCUAAUUUAGCAUGAUCUAUUCUCUUUUUGAUUCUUAAUUAAGGAUACAUAUACCAUUCUUUUUUAAGCCUACAAAAGAAAUUAUGGAUAACCAGACUUCCAUGGACAUAAAUAUGUCUCCACCUAUUGAGGAAGUAUACACGAACCUGAACUUGGAAGAACAACAAGGUCGCCUUGAGUAUACAGAUGAUGUAGCUGAACAAGAGCCACAUGAAGAUAACCCACAUUGCUGUAUUGUGGGUCGAUUGCUUAUUGAUAAACUGAUUAAUAUAUUGGUUUUUAAAAAAAAAGCAUGACACAAGUAUAGAGGCUAGUUAUGGCGUUACCCAUCAAAAACUUGGGCAACAAUGCUUUUAUGGCUCAAUUUUUUCAUCAGAUUGAUCAUGAUAGAGUUAUGAAUGGUGGCCCGUGGAGUUUUGCUCAGAAUUUAAUCACAAUGAAGACUCUGGACCCAGUAAAGAAUUUGAGACAUGUUGAACUGACAAUGGUGAAUUCUUGGAUUCAAGUCCAUGACCUUCCAUAUGGUUUGAUGUCCGCUAGAGUGGCACGAGAUAUUGGUAAUUAUGUGGGGGAGUUCAUGGAAGCAGAUGAGAGGAAUUUUUCUGGCAUAUGGCGAGAAUAUAUGUGCAUAAAAGUCCGAAUGGAUGUGAGGAAGCCUUUGAAGAGACGAAUGCAGGUUAAGAAAGCUGGUGGUGUAUGGACAUGGAUAUCGUUUCGCUAUGAAAGACUAUCGACAUUCUGUUUCUUUUGUGGAAUGUUGGGACAUUCUGAUAAAUAUUGCCGAAAAUUAUUCAUGACACCAGGAAUAAUAAGAGAACAAUUUGCUUAUGGCCCAAGUAUGAGAGUAGAUAGUCGCAAACCAUCUACCAGAUGAUGGGGUCAGGCAGAAGGGAAAGCAGUUCCCGAUAGUCCAUUGUCGGAUGCAGGCGGAUCUUCGAAAUAACCAAUUGACCCCAAAACUUUAGGAUUUGCUCCUUUUCCAACUCCUAUAAUUCAGGUUGGAAAAACGUAAUUAGGGAGAGAACUCAUUAGGGAAGGAUAGAUCUGGAGAUCUCGUGUUCAAAAAGGAAACUAUGCAAGUAGGGCCACAGACCAAGGUUUGGAGGAAGGCCUGAUUCUUACUGACCCUAAACAACGACAUCAAGAUACUGAGAAGCCCAUUAUGGAGGAAGAUACUGAAUUAGCAAAUAGUCCAAAAAAAGUAUGGCGGGCCCAGGUUCCCAAGCCCGCCAAUCGUCAUGAGUACCCUGUGUUGGAACUGUCGUGGGCUAAGGAACCUGUAGAUAGUUUCAAAACUGAAGGACAUGGUGUCCAAUAAGAAACCCAAUCUUCUAUUUUUGCAAGAAACUAAGGUGGAUCGAGCCAGACUUGAGCAGGUGAAAAAUUUAACAGGUUUUGUAGGGCUCUUUGUUGUAGAACCGGAAAGCUUAAGUGGUGGUUUAGCUUUGAUGUGGAAGGAACAAAACAUGUGCUCUCUCAUUGGCUAUCAUAGGAAUUUUAUUGACUUUAGUGUCCAUAUGGAAGGGAUACCCCAUUUUCGCUUCACUGGAUUCUAUGGAAUGCCUAAACAUCAUAGACAGAGAACCUCUUGGGAGCUUUUAGCUAUUUAAAAAACAAGUCAGAUUUACCAUGGUGUAUAGGGGGUGAUUUUACUGACAUUUUGUCAUAUGGGGAUAAGCUAGGAUCUAGGUUUCGUCGGUAACAAAUAUACAUGGGAACGAGGAAGGGAUACAGCAGCAUGGGUUUGUGAGCAACUGGAUAGAAUUUUUGCAACUCAAACAUGGAGACGUCAAUUUGCAGCGGCUACUAUUUUCAAUUUGGAUGUCGCGAGUAGUGAUCACUCAGCUAUAUUUCUUUCAUUUGAUAUGUGCCAAAGGGAUUUCGAUUUGAGAACGCCUGGUUGAAGGAACUUGACGUUAAGCAAGCAGUCAUGGAAGCAUGGGAAACCGAGAAAAGGAAGCCAACUAUGGACCAAAUUGAGCAGUAUGGUGAAUAUCUCCAUAGAUGGGGUCAGGAUAAGAAGCGUCAGUUUGGUGAUCGACUAAAAACUUGCAAAGCUCAAAUGGCACGAUUUAAAUCAAGUAGGGAUCCAAUAUGCAUCCAACAAUUUCGAAUUGCAAAAGAAGCUUACUUACAGAUUCUUCAUCAACAAGAACAAUAUUGGAAGCAAAGUGCUAAACAACAUUGGCUUAGAGAUGGGGAUGCCAAUACAAGAUACUUCCAUUUGAUGGCUUCAACUAGGCGAAAAAAGAAUGUUGUGCAGAAACUCAAAAACGAUGAAGAAAGAUGGCUGGAUUGGGAUUCGGGUUUGGAACAUUGAUGAUAGAUUACUUUCAUGAGCUUUUUACACCCACCAAGGCCAAAUGGAGAUGAUUCGAGAUGCAGUAGAAGAAAAAAUCACAGGUGCCAAAAACGCUGCUCUAACACAGCCUUUUACAACGAAGGAAGUCAAAACAGCUGUGUUCAGCAUGCACCCUGACAAGGCGACAGGACCGGAUGGCCUAAACCUAGGUUUUUACCGCUCUUUCUAGCAUAUUGUUGGUAUGGAUCUUUGUACUGCUGUGUUAUCUUGUUUGAAUGAAAAUACACCUGCACCGGAAAUCAAACAAGUAUCAUUUUAAUACCAAAAAAGGAGAUUGAAUGUGUUUUUGAUUUGAGGCCUAUUUCAUUGUGUAAUGUCAUUGAUAAAAUUACUUGUAAAACUAUGGCUAACCGAAUGAGAUGUUGUAUGGAGACAGCAAUAUCAGAAAAGCAAAGUGCUUUUAUUCUUGGCAGGUUUAUCAUAGACAAUGUAAUGAUAGCUUUUGAAGCCAUACACUACUUAAAGAGAAAAUCACAGGGGUUAGACGGCUAUGCGGCUUUAAAAAUUUAUAUGAGUAAAGCUUACCGCAUAGAGUGGCAGUUCCUGGAAGCAAUAAUGUUGAAGUUGGGUUUUUGUGAUGAUGUUGAAGUUCAGUUUUUGUGAUGAAUGGGUUUCUAAAAUGAUGCGGACGGUUACUACUAUAGUUUACCAUGUCUCUCAUAGUGGUAAAGAGUUUGGACUAAUUAUUCCAUCCCGAGGGCUAUGGUAAGGAGAUCUGUUAUCACCUUAUUUGUUCAUAAUAGUUGCAGAGGGUCUGACUGCUUUAUUAAGCUCAUUUGAAAAUCGAAAUCAGCUCCAUGGAAUAAAGGUGACACGUUCCACACCCUCCAUCUUGCACAUUUUUUUCACUGAUGAUGCAUUUUAUUUUUUCAGGGCAAUAGCUUCGAAAGCUUUUAUUGUCAAACAUUGUUUAGCUUUAUAUCAACAGGCAUCUGGACAGCAACUAAAUUUCCAUAAAUCGGAAGUUUACUAUAGUAAAAAUACCACGGUAGAGAUGAAGGAGGUGGUCACAGGGCUAUUUGGUGUGAAACAGGUGGAUACCCCAAGUCAAUAUUUGGGCCUUCCCUCGUUAAUUGGCAGGAGCAAAAAUGAGGUCUUUUCUUAUGUUAAAGACAAUAUAUGGAAGAGAUUACAAGGGUGGAAGCUUUCAAUUCUUUCAUGGGCAGGGAAGGAACUACUACUCAAAAUGGUGAUCCAAGCUAUUCCCAGUUAUUUGAUGCAAGUUUUUCUUCUUCCAAUGGACAAUUUUUCAAAUAGUCGAAAACUGCAUGAAUCAAUUUUGGUGGACUAAGGAAAGUAAUGGAGGCUCAGGUAUCCACUGGUGAUCUUAGAGCAAUUUAUGUAAAAGAAAGGAAGACGGCAGCAUGGGGUUCAGGUCAUUGCAUAAAUUCAAUAUGGCCCUAUUAGCUAAAAUAGGCUGGAACUUAAUGAGCAGGCCAAAUGCUUUGGUAAGUAGGUUGUGUAACGCAAAAUACUUCCCAGACUGAUUUUUUAGCUGCUGAGGUUGGACAAAACCCGAGUUACCUAUGGAGAUCUUAGUGUGCUGGACAUGAUAUCCUACCGGGUGGUUGUACCAGAAGAAUCAAAAUUGGUAACGGUACGUUGAUUUAUCGUGCACCAUGGCUAUCAUCACUGACUGCCCCUCACAUUGAGUCGACAAAUCAGAUUGGGAUUGAUUAUAUUUAUAUAGCGGAUUUAUUCACAAUAGAUGGCAGAGCUACAUUAUUUCAAAAAAUAGCUUACCGUAGCAAAGAUCAAACCUCGGCCAAUCAACAAAUUACAACACACCUUCACCAUUUUGCCCCAUUAACUUACACGUUCAAGUAUUUGUCUCCCCUAAAUUUAAACCCUAGCUUCGCCCUUGUCAGAUAGGACUAACAAACUAACUAUCCUGACUAAUAAAUAAAACUUCAAUUCGCAGCAUUUUACUCAAGUGCAUCCUCAGUUAAAGUGCUAUUGUUUUGCUUGGUGCACCAUUUCAUUAACAAUGCUGCUCACCAUUUUGUGGUUUUUGUUUCUAUCAUCUAAUAUCCCCCCCACACAAGUUGGAGAAUGUAUAUCAGACAGGAAGGGGCUUAGUGUACAUAUCAGCCAACUAAGCAUGAAAGAGAAUAGGAAAGAGGUGAAUGAGACUAGUCUUUAGUUUUUCACAAACGAAAUGGCGAUCUAAUUCAAUGUGUUUAGUGCAUUCUUGAAUAGUGGGGUUGGUAGCUAUGUGUAAUUCAGACUGAUUAUCACAAUAUACACUAGUGGGUUAGGGGUGAGAAAUAUGGAAAUCAUGGAGAAGAUAUUGAAUCCAUUGUACUUCACAAAUGGUGGCAGCAAGCGCUCUAUAUUCUACUUUAAAGGAAGAAUGAGAAACAAUACUUUGUUUAUUAGAUUUUUAGCUAAUAAGAGAAUCUCCAAGAUAAGAGCAAGAGUCGGUCCUUCAUUUUCUGGUUCAAUGUACUUUUGCCCGAAGUUGUUGGAUCCUCUCUGAUGCGAAUAGUGGGGAGCUGUGCCAAGUUUUCAGGAGUGGUUAAUGCUAUUACUUGACAGAUGUGAUAAACAAUAGGUACAGGGGGCAAAUAUGUUAGCAUGGGAAAUAUGGAAUGCGAGAAAUGGGGUGCUAUGGAAUCAAAGACUUAUUUCUGCUUCCUCUAUUGUGCAUAAAGCUAAUCAAUAUAUGCAGGAAUGGGAAGCAGCAAAGGCUAGCCCAUUGUCAUUUCAUCCUUACUUCCAAAUGCGAACCAAAUUCUGGAGGUCUAAAGUGCAACAUGGAUGCAUGCUUUAAUGAAGAAAAUGGCGAGGGCAAGUGUAGGCAUGGUGCUCCGUGAUGAACAGGGAGAAGUCAAAGCUUAGGGAAGGUACAAAACUCAGUACUGGCGGAGGCAAUAGGAGUAAGGGAAGCUUUGAGUUGGGUGAAAAAUGAUUGUGCUUCGGCUCCACUGAUUAUGAACUGGAUUGUUUAUUAGUUAAGCAAGCUUUAGAUAAUAGAGCAGUGGAUAAUUCUUAUUUGGUAUUUUGAUUCAUGAUUGUAAGUCUCUAGCUAGAGAAUUUACUUCAUUGUCUUUUUGUUUUUUCAAAAAACUAACGAAUCAUGUGGCUUACUUGUUAGCACGAAUUACUAUUUCUAUGCCUGAUUUGAUA